UCCCUGGUGGCUCAGAUGGUAAAGAAUCUGCCUACAAUGCAGGAGACCCUGGUUUGAUCCCUGGAUAGGGAA
rnacentral:tRNA from 1 species